rnacentral:rRNA from 1 species
AGUGAACGCUGGCGGCGUGCUUAACACAUGCAAGUCGAACGGACUUUAAGGGGCUUGCUUCUUAAAGUUAGUGGCGCACGGGUGAGUAAUGUAUAGCUAACCUGCCCUUUAGUGGGGGACAACAGUUGGAAACGGCUGCUAAUACCCCAUACUCCUUCUUAUCAUAAGGUAAGUUGGGAAAGAUUUAUUGCUAAAGGAUGGGGCUUUAUGGUAUCAGCUAGUUGGUGGGGUAAAGGCCUACCAAGGCUAUGACGCCUAUCUGGUCUGAGAGGAUGAUCAGGCACACUGGAACUGAGACACGGUCCAGACUCCUACGGGAGGCAGCAGUGGGGAAUAUUGCACAAUGGAGGAAACUCUGAUGCAGCAACGCCGCGUGGAGGAUGACGCAUUUCGGUGUGUAAACUCCUUUUAUAAGGGAAGAUAAUGACGGUACCUUAUGAAUAAGCACCGGCUAACUCCGUGCCAGCAGCCGCCGUAA